AGGCAUCAGAAUUGCCAUCUCGUUUCAUCGCUCUUCAGUCUGCAGAACACUAUAGGAUUACUUGUAAUAGGGAGCCUGUGCGAUGACCCUGUCGUGAGAGGGGCCAGCCCACUUUGGGAAGCUGUGAGGAGCUCGGUGUCGCUGCAGCUGGGUACAAGGUCAGCAGGAGGCAGAUCUGGAGGAGCCUGGGAGAGAAACCCUACUCUGACUGGGACUGGAGAAUGGGUUGAAGGAGAGAGGACAGGAUGGAAAAACAGAAAAACUGGG